GGGGGCGAACUGGAUUCGACCGGGCGAGUGAAAUACAAGCUGCAUGUCGUGGUUAGUCAGCGGGCCACGUUAAAAGCCGACUAUAAAUUUCAAUUGCCGAACCUAAAUUGGCAAUGGCUGCUUAAGAAAAAGCAACCCUGAAAUCGAUUCUUUGCCGAAGAGAUGAAACUUUCAGACGAUAAUUUCGGAUCGUUUCUCACCAUGUCGAACACGUGAGAGAUUAAAAACUGUUUUCGAAUCGCCGGAGAAGAACCAAAGUCGUUGAGGGUCGGAUCCGGUUAAACAAAGAAACAGACGACUAAACAUGUAGACGCUUUUACGGAUCAGUCGCGGGACGCGGGUUCAAUCCCCGCCGCCUCCACUA
rnacentral:tmRNA from 1 species